GUCUGUGAUGCCCUUAGAUGUUCUGGGCCGCACGCGCGCUACACUGACAGAGCCAGUGAGUUUCUUUUCCUUGGCCGGAAGGUCAUGGGUAAUCUUGUGAAACUCUGUCGUGCUGGGGAUAGAGCAUUGCAAUUAUUGCUCUUCAACGAGGAAUUCCUAGUAAGCGUGAGUCAUCAGCUCGCGUUGAUUACGUCCCUGCCCUUUGUACACACCGCCCGUCGCUACUACCGAUUGAAUGGCUUAGUGAGACCUCCGGAUUGGCUUUGGGGAGUCGGCAACGACACCCCUUUGCUGAGAAGUUGGUCAAACUUGGUCAUUUAGAGGAAGUAAAAGUCGUAACAAGGUUUCCGUAGGUGAACCUGCGGAAGGAUCAUUAUCGUACAAUGGAGGUGCUGGGGUUGUCGCUGACUUUUGAAAGGGUCGUGCACACCUCGGUGCUCUCACACAUAAUCCAUCUCACCCCUUUUGUGCAUCACCGCGUGGGGACCCCUUUUGGCUAGUUCUGAGGGUGGUUUUCACGUUUUUACACAGACACCCUUUUAAUGCAAUGUGUAGAAUGUCUUACUUUUUUGCGAUCACACGCAAUCAAUACAACUUUCAACAACGGAUCUCUUGGCUCUCGCAUCGAUGAAGAACGCAGCGAAAUGCGAUACGUAAUGUGAAUUGCAGAAUUCAGUGAAUCAUCUAAUCUUUGAACGCACCUUGCGCCCUUUGGCAUUCCAAGGGGCACAUCCGUUUGAGUGUCGUGACAUCCUCAAAACCUUCUUGGUUUCUUGACCAGGAAGGCUUUGGACUUUGGAGGCUUUUGCUGGCCCUUCCUUUGUUGGAGCCAGCUCCUCUGAAAUGAAUUAGUGGGGUCUGCUUUGCCGAUCCUUGACGUGAUAAGAUGUUUUCUACGUCUUGGGUUUCGCACCGUUCCCUGCUUCUAACCGUCUCAUAGAAGACGAUGGUCAAGUGAUCGCCACUUGACCCACGAACCUUGACCUCAAAUCCGUGGUCUGCCNNNNNNNNNNNNNNNNNNNNNNNNNNNNNNNNNNNNNNNNNNNNNNNNNNNNNNNNNNNNNNNNNNNNNNNNNNNNNNNNNNNNNNNNNNNNNNNNNNNNGGGGGUUCGUGGCCGCGGCCUCCAGUGGGAUGCUCCCCAGCGUCCCCGUCGCCCGGCUCAAAUCCGUGGUCUGCACAGGUCGAAGAGCGGCCCCUCGACGUAGUGGUGACAUUUCCCGUCGUGGGCCUCCUCGAGCACCCUGAGACCUUAAGCGGCGCAUCCCACGGGGGCACCGUUGACCUCUCUCGUUUGACCUCGGAUCAGGCAGGGAUACCCGCUGAACUUAAGCAUAUCAAUAAGCGGAGGAAAAGAAACCAACAGGGAUUGCCUCAGUAACGGCGAGUGAAGCGGCAGAAGCUCAAAUUUGUAAGCUGGCGCCCCCGGUGUCCGCGUUGUAAUUUGGAGAGGCAUCUUCGGUUCGGCCAGCCGGCCCCAUGUUCCUUGGAACAGGACGUCACAGAGGGUGAGAAUCCCGUUCGGGACCGACCGGCCUGUUCCUCGUGAGUUGUCUUCGACGAGUCGAGUUGUUUGGGAAUGCAGCUCAAAAUGGGUGGUAAACUUCAUCUAAAGCUAAAUAUUGGUGGGAGACCGAUAGCGCACAAGUAGAGUGAUCGAAAGAUGAAAAGCACUUUGAAAAUAGAGUCAAAAAGUACGUGAAAUUGUUGAAAGAGAAGCGCUUGAGACCAGACUCGGCCGGUGGUGAUCAGCCGACCCCUCGUGGGCGGUGCACUCAUCGCCGGGCGUGCCAGCAUCGGUUGUGGCGGCGGGACAAAGGCCUCGGGAAUGUGGCUCCUCUCGGGGAGUGUUAUAGCCCGUGUGCGAAAUGCCGCCUGCCGCGACCGAGGAUCGCGCCUAUCAGGCUAGGAUGCUGGUUUAAUGGUCUUCAGCGACCCGUCUUGAAACACGGACCAAGGAGUCUAACAUCUAUGCGAGUGUUUGGGUGUCAAACCCUUGCGCGAAAUGAAAGUGAACGGAGGUGGGAACCCGCAAGGGCGCACCAUCGACCGGUCCCGAUGUCUUCGGAAGGAUCUGAGUAGGAGCAUAGCUGCUGGGACCCGAAAGAUGGUGAACUAUGCCUGAAUAGGGUGAAGCCAGAGGAAACUCUGGUGGAGGCUCGCAGCGGUUCUGACGUGCAAAUCGAUCGUCAAAUUUGGGUAUAGGGGCGAAAGACUAAUCGAACCC
rnacentral:rRNA from 1 species